GAUGAACGCUGGCGGCGUGCCUAAUACAUGCAAGUCUAGCGAACAGAUAAGGAGCUUGCUCCUUUGACGUUAGCGGCGGACGGGUGAGUAACACGUGGGUAACCUACCUAUAAGACUGGAAUAACUCCGGGAAACCGGGGCUAAUGCCGGAUAACAUUUAGAACCGCAUGGUUCUAAAGUGAAAGAUGGUUUUGCUAUCACUUAUAGAUGGACCCGCGCCGUAUUAGCUAGUUGGUAAGGUAACGGCUUACCAAGGCAACGAUACGUAGCCGACCUGAGAGGGUGAUCGGCCACACUGGAACUGAGACACGGUCCAGACUCCUACGGGAGGCAGCAGUAGGGAAUCUUCCGCAAUGGGCGAAAGCCUGACGGAGCAACGCCGCGUGAGUGAUGAAGGUCUUCGGAUCGUAAAACUCCGUUAUUAGGGAAGAACAAAUGUGUAAGUAACUGUGCACGUCUUGACGGUACCUAAUCAGAAAGCCACGGCUAACUACGUG
rnacentral:rRNA from 1 species